rnacentral:rRNA from 1 species
CAGGCCUAACACAUGCAAGUCGAACGCGAACUUUGGCUUCGGCCGGAGGGAGCGUGGCGGACGGGUGAGUAACACGUGGGUAAUCUGCCUUCGGGUGGGGAAUAACGGCCCGAAAGGGUCGCUAAUACCGCAUAACGCAGCGGCACCGCAUGGUGACAGUUGUUAAAGAGGGGGAUCCGCAAGGACCUCUCGCCUGAAGAGGAGCCCGCGCCCGAUUAGCUGGUUGGUGGGGUAACGGCCUACCAAGGCAUCGAUCGGUAGCCGGCCUGAGAGGGCGGUCGGCCACACUGGCACUGAGACACGGGCCAGACUCCUACGGGAGGCAGCAGUGGGGAAUUUUGGGCAAUGGGCGAAAGCCUGACCCAGCAACGCCGCGUGAAGGACGAAAUCCCUCUGGGAUGUAAACUUCGAAAGUUAGGGAAGAAAUGCUUCGGGGGAAUAUCCCGAGGAGAUGACGGUACCUAACGUAAGCCCCGGCUAACUACGUGCCAGCAGCCGCGGUAAU